UGGUGGAGCGAUUUGUCUGGUUAAUUCCGAUAACGAACGAGACUCUAGCCUGCUAACUAGCUCGCGGAACAGUCAUUUCAAGACGGCUCCUCGUGGGUCGGCCCUUGGUGACAACCGUUCCGCGGCGAUCGAGAACUUCUUAGAGGGACAAGUGGCGUUUAGCCACACGAGAUUGAGCAAUAACA
rnacentral:rRNA from 1 species